AUUGAACGCUGGCGGCAGGCCUAACACAUGCAAGUCGAACGGUAACAGGAAACAGCUUGCUGUUUCGCUGACGAGUGGCGGACGGGUGAGAAAUGUCUGGGAAACUGCUUGAUGGAGGGGGAUAACUACUGGAAACGGUAGCUAAUACCGCAUAACGUCGCAAGACCAAAGAGGGGGACCCUCGGGCCUCUUGCCAUCGGAUGUGCCCAGAUGGGAUUAGCUUGUUGGUGGGGUAACGGCUCACCAAGGCGACGAUCCCUAGCUGGUCGGAGAGGAUGACCGGCGACACUGGAACGGAGACACGGUCCAGACUCCUACGGGAGGCAGCAGUGGGGAAUAUUGCGCAAUGGGCGCAAGCCUGAUGCAGCCAUGCCGCGUGUAUGAAGAAGGCCUUCGGGUUGUAAAGUACUUUCAGCGGGGAGGAAGGGAGUAAGGUUAAUACCUUUGCUCAUUGACGUUACCCGCAAAAGAAGCACCGGCUAACUACGUG
rnacentral:rRNA from 1 species